AAACUGUAGAGUUUGAUCCUGGCUCAGAUUGAACGCUAGCGGCAUGCCUUACACAUGCAAGUCGAACGGCAGCACGGGGGCAACCCUGGUGGCGAGUGGCGAACGGGUGAGUAAUGCAUCGGAACGUGCCCAUCGAUGGGGGAUAACUGCGCGAAAGCGUUGCUAAUACCGCAUACGACCUACGGGUGAAAGCAGGGGACCGCAAGGCCUUGCGUCGAUGGAGCGGCCGAUGCCGGAUUAGCUAGUUGGUGAGGUAAAGGCUCACCAAGGCAACGAUCCGUAGCUGGUCUGAGAGGACGACCAGCCACACUGGGACUGAGACACGGCCCAGACUCCUACGGGAGGCAGCAGUGGGGAAUCUUGGACAAUGGGGGCAACCCUGAUCCAGCAAUGCCGCGUGUG
rnacentral:rRNA from 1 species